AACGAACGCUGGCGGCGUGGAUAAGACAUGCAAGUCGAACGAGAGAAUUGCUAGCUUGCUAAUAAUUCUCUAGUGGCGCACGGGUGAGUAACACGUGAGUAACCUGCCCCCGAGAGCGGGAUAGCCCUGGGAAACUGGGAUUAAUACCGCAUAGUAUCGAAAGAUUAAAGCAGCAAUGCGCUUGGGGAUGGGCUCGCGGCCUAUUAGUUAGUUGGUGAGGUAACGGCUCACCAAGGCGAUGACGGGUAGCCGGUCUGAGAGGAUGUCCGGCCACACUGGAACUGAGACACGGUCCAGACACCUACGGGUGGCAGCAGUCGAGAAUCAUUCACAAUGGGGGAAACCCUGAUGGUGCGACGCCGCGUGGGGGAAUGAAGGUCUUCGGAUUGUAAACCCCUGUCAUGUGGGAGCAAAUUAAAAAGAUAGUACCACAAGAGGAAGAGACGGCUAACUCUGUGCCAGCAGCCGCGGUAAUACAGAGGUCUCAAGCGUUGUUCGGAAUCACUGGGCGUAAAGCGUGCGUAGGCUGUUUCGUAAGUCGUGUGUGAAAGGCGCGGGCUCAACCCGCGGACGGCACAUGAUACUGCGAGACUAGAGUAAUGGAGGGGGAACCGGAAUUCUCGGUGUAGCAGUGAAAUGCGUAGAUAUCGAGAGGAACACUCGUGGCGAAGGCGGGUUCCUGGACAUUAACUGACGCUGAGGCACGAAGGCCAGGGGAGCGAAAGGGAUUAGAUACCCCUGUAGUCCUGGCAGUAAACGGUGCACGCUUGGUGUGCGGGGAAUCGACCCCCUGCGUGCCGGAGCUAACGCGUUAAGCGUGCCGCCUGGGGAGUACGGUCGCAAGAUUAAAACUCAAAGAAAUUGACGGGGACCCGCACAAGCGGUGGAGUAUGUGGCUUAAUUCGAUGCAACGCGAAGAACCUUACCUGGGCUUGACAUGUAAUGAACAACAUGUGAAAGCAUGCGACUCUUCGGAGGCGUUACACAGGUGCUGCAUGGCCGUCGUCAGCUCGUGUCGUGAGAUGUUUGGUUAAGUCCAGCAACGAGCGCAACCCCUGUUGCCAGUUACCAGCACGUGAAGGUGGGGACUCUGGCGAGACUGCCCAGAUCAACUGGGAGGAAGGUGGGGACGACGUCAGGUCAGUAUGGCCCUUAUGCCCAGGGCUGCACACGUACUACAAUGCCCAGUACAGAGGGGGCCGAAGCCGCGAGGCGGAGGAAAUCCUAAAAACUGGGCCCAGUUCGGACUGUAGGCUGCAGCCCGCCUACACGAAGCCGGAAUCGCUAGUAAUGGCGCAUCAGCUACGGCGCCGUGAAUACGUUCCCGGGUCU
rnacentral:rRNA from 1 species